rnacentral:hammerhead_ribozyme from 1 species
AUCCAGCUGACGAGUCCCGAAUAGGACGAAACAUGCGUCCUGAAU